rnacentral:rRNA from 1 species
UACGUAGGGGGCAAGCGUUGUCCGGAAUCAUUGGGCGUAAAGCGCGUGUAGGCGGGUCGGUAAGUCCGCUCUGAAAGCCCGGGGCUCAACCCCGGGAGGCGGGUGGAUACUGUCGACCUCGAGUCCGGAAGAGGCGAGUGGAAUUCCUGGUGUAGCGGUGAAAUGCGCAGAUAUCAGGAGGAACACCAAUGGCGAAGGCAGCUCGCUGGGACGGUACUGACGCUGAGACGCGAAAGCGUGGGGGAGCAAAACGG